rnacentral:tRNA from 1 species
GCCGAAGUGGCGAAAUUGGUAGACGCAGUUGAUUCAAAAUCAACCGUAUUACAUACGUGUCGGUUCAAAUCCGACCUUCGGCA